rnacentral:lncRNA from 1 species
AGGUGGGGAUGGAUGGAUGGACAGAUGCAUACACAGAGGCAGGGAUGAAUGGACAGAUGCAUGCACAGAGGCAGGGAUGGAUGGAUGGACAGAUGCAUGCACAGAGGCAGGGAUGAAUGGACAGAUGCAUGCACAGAGGCAGGGAUGGAUGGAUGGACAGAUGCAUGCACAGAGGCAGGGAUGAAUGGACAGAUGCAUGCACAGAGGCAGGGAUGGAUGGACAGAUGCAUGCACAGAGGCGGGGAUGGAUGGAUGGACAGAUGCAUGCACAGAGGCAGGGAUGAAUGGACAGAUGCAUGCACAGAGGCAGGGAUGGAUGUACGGACAGAUGCAUGCACAGAGGCGGGGAUGGAUGGACAGAUGCAUGCACAGAGGCGGGGAUGGAUGGACGGACGGAUGCAUGGCCAGAGGCAGAGAUGGAUGGGUGGGUAGAUUGGACGGACAGAUGAUGGUAGGUUGUUCUUGUCCUGGAGGAGGUGAUCCAGGCUGAGUCCUCACACUGGGCAGAGCAAGAGGCAGGAGGUGAGCAUGGGGAGAUGCAGCUGUGUGCCCCAGUGCACCGGAAGUUACAGAUGACAUCGAUGUCCUGUCCUGAUGAAACAGGAAACACAUUUGUCAUUUGAGAGUUAGUGGCUGGGGCUGGGUGGAAGCUUGAGGGGCUGUGGGCCUGGAAUGGGGCUGAGGGGAGCGUGCAGGAGCUGCCUGCCAAAGCCUGGAGCAAGGAUGACAGGAGGUGCCGGGGCCCCUGUGGACUGCCCUCUGGGAAUCUUGUGGGGCUGGGUCUGCACAGCUGUGGUUGUGUAACUUCCCCCAGAUGCAUGGCGUGACAAGGGUGCAGGAAGGGGUGCAGGGCCCGGAAGCCCAGUAUGGCCAAGGAGAGACAAGGCAGGGAAGAAGGUGAGAGAUGAAAGAUAUCGCCCUGAUUGAAACACCAAACUA